GGUUCCAACAUGGAACUCCUUAACCCUUGGAAUUUCCUAAGAGAAUAAAAAGGCAUCUUUUGUUAAGUUGAUGAGGAGCACCUGAGGGCUGGUUGCCAGUAGAAACUCUGUGUGAUUAGAGGGUUGAAACCGUCAAUGAUAUCCUGCCACCCCACUCCUCAUCUUCCUGUAGGAGAAAGGUGCUGGGGCUUGAAUUGUUUGCCAGCGGCUGAUGAUUUAAUCAAUCUUGCCUCUAAUGAGGGAGGCUUCCUUAAAGUGAAAAAGAAGAGGUUUCAGUGAGCUUCCAGAUGGGGGAACACUUGGAGAUUUGGGGAGAGGGACAUGCUGGGACAAAGCAUGGAAACCCCAGGCCUUUUCCCCACACCUUGUGCUUUGCGACUCUUCCAUAUGGCUGUUCCUGAGUUAUAUCAUUUUUGUAAUAAACCACUAACCUCCUGAUGAAAAGGUUUUCUGAGUUCUGUAUGCUGCUCUCGCAAAUUAACGGAACCCGAGGAUGGAAACUGUAAUCUACAACAGGUUGGUCAGAAGAACAGGUAUCCUCUUCUCCUGAAGUUGGAUUUUGAUACUAACACUACUCUAAAUCAGUAAAACAGAGUUACUCUCAAAGAUGCAAUUUAUAACAAGGGAAAGAGGUAACAUCAUCAAGAAUAAACACUGCAUUAUCAAAAUGAAGCUCUACUCUUCUGUUAAGGAAAGCAUCCCACCCCACCUGUGUUCACCUGGAGCCUUUGCUAAUCUGUUCCACCUGAAGGCCAUCCUUUCCCUGCAGGACUUCGAGGCAACAACCUAAGCCCCACCUUACUGCCCUGUCUGCCCCUGUAGCAAAACCUACAGAAGCCCUUACACCUCCAAAAUAGACCCUCUCUUCAGAUUUAUCCCUUCCAUUUCUAACAUGAGAAGCACAGAAUAAACUCUCACCUCUAAUAAUGUAAUCAUAUAUAUAUAGAGUGCAUAUGUGUGUGUGUGUGUGUAUAUAUAUAUAUUAAAAAAAUGUAUGGAGAGAGAGAAUACAUGUAAAUAUAUCUCCAAAAAGCACAUUUCCUUUUAUUGUAGUAACUUUUUUGACUCAACUCAUGGAUAAGUGAAUCAUAAGUAUUUCUCCCUGUUAUCAAAUAUUUUUGAAAAUAUGAUAUAAAAUAUUGCAUAAGAUCAAUUCUUAACAAGUGCAUUAUAAUGAACUGUACCCCUAUAUAUUUUAUUAAGGUGUUUUUCCCCCCUGUGUGGUAUAAACACAGCUAUGGAAAGUUCUUGCCACUACUAUCAAAGGAUAUUGCCAUUUUCAAGUUCUUGACCCAUAUGAACCAAAUGACAUUCAGAAGUGUUGAACUAUUUUCAUAUCAGUAAUGUCUAUCUUGCCAAACCUUUGCUAAAAUGGAAAGUUAUAAUUAAGGAAAGGUGUUUUAUCAAUUUCUAGUCUUGAAAAAUAUGUUGUAAUUCUAUCAAUUAAUUCUCAAGUAAUAAUGAUUUUGCUCAUUAUUACAUUUUUAUUGAUCCUUAUACCUAUUCUCAUAUUUGCACUGGCAUAUUCAUUAUUUUUUACAUUCGUUAUAGGUAUUAUUAGACAUAAUAUCAAUAAUUCAUUACAGAUAUUGACAUAUUCCCUAAUCUUGCCUUACACUUUCAUGUAGUAUUUUAUAAAUAGUGGAAUUUUAAUUUAUAUGUACUUAAAAUAUUAACUGUUUUCUGGAUAGUUUUUUUGUUUUUAUGCUUAGGUCUUCUAUCUCGAGCAUUUUCACCAAUGUUUUCUUUAAAUUGGUAAAUUAUUUAGAAAUGUAUUUUUAAUAUUCUGCUGUCUGAAAUAUGCAUAUGCUAAAAGAGAUACUUUUAGUUUUUCAAAUUAAAACAUUUCUCUAUCAUCACUGAGUGAUGCCUCUAUUCUUUACUGUUGUUUUUUUUAGGCUUCAAAAACCAAAUAUUAUAUAUACAUACUGACAUACAUACACACAUGUUUUUCCAUUGUAUCAACUUGACUAAUGCCAUACCAAUUUAUCUGUUCUUAAAAUACAUUAUUUGACUUUAAACUUCAUAUUUAAAUGCAAGUUCAUACAGACAUCUUAUU
ensembl:lncRNA